rnacentral:rRNA from 1 species
GACGAACGCUGGCGGCGUGCUUCAUACAUGCAAGUCGAACGAGAAGCUGACUUCGGUCAGUGGAAAGUGGCGGACGGGUGAGUAAUAUGUAGGAAAUCUGCCUUUAGGAGGGGGACAACAGAGGGAAACUUCUGCUAAUACCCCAUAUGAGCGUAGCUGAAAUGCUAUUCUUGAAAACUCCGGUGCCUAAAGAUGAGCCUGCAUCUGAUUAGCUAGUUGGUAGUGUAAUGGACUACCAAGGCGACGAUCAGUAGCUGGUUUGAGAGGAUGAUCAGCCACAAUGGGACUGGGACACGGCCCCUAAUCCUACGGGGGGCAGGAGUAGGGAAUUUUGCGCAAUGGGGGAAGCCUGAAGCAGCAACGCCGCGUGAACGAUUAAGCCCUUCGGGGUGUAAAGUUCUGUCAGUGGGGACGAAACUUGACGGUACCCACAGAGGAAGCACCGGCUAACUCCGUG